rnacentral:rRNA from 1 species
UACGGAGGGGGCUAGCGUUGUUCGGAAUUACUGGGCGUAAAGCGCACGUAGGCGGACUGUUAAGUCGGGGGUGAAAUCCCGGGGCUCAACCCCGGAAUGGCCUUCGAUACUGGCGGUCUUGAGGUCUGGAGAGGUGAGUGGAAUUCCGAGUGUAGAGGUGAAAUUCGUAGAUAUUCGGAGGAACACCAGUGGCGAAGGAGGCUCACGGGCCAGAUAUUGACGAUGAGGUGCGAAAGCGUGGGGAGCAAACAGG